GCCCCCUGAGGCCUCCAUGAGGAUCUCAGUGUCAGGAUAUGGAGAACAAGAUUCGCUCCACACUGAAUGAAAUCUACUUUGGGAAGACCAAGGACAUCGUCAAUGGCCUAAGGAGUGUUCAGACUCUGGCUGACAAGUCAAAGCAGGAGGCUCUGAAGGUCGACCUGAUGGAGGCGCUCAAACGCAAACACACCAGCUAGAGUCGCUACGGUUUUUUGUUUCUUCCUUCUGUCUCUCACUCUCUCCGCCUCAUCUCCGCCAUCUUUUCUCUGUUUCUCUACUUCCUCCAAGCCUGUUUCAGUGCUGCACUCUUGUUUAUUUGUGGAAAAACAAAAAAGGAUAAAAUGCAUAGCUUUUUAUUGGUUUUCUUUGUCUGGUUUUGUUUUCAUGCAUCUCAUCUGCCAUGAAG